rnacentral:rRNA from 1 species
UACGAAGGGGGCUAGCGUUGCUCGGAAUGACUGGGCGUAAAGGGCGCGUAGGCGGCUCAUACAGUCAGAUGUGAAAUUCCUGGGCUUAACCUAGGGGCUGCAUUUGAUACGUGUGGGCUUGAGUGGGGAAGAGGGUCGUGGAAUUCCCAGUGUAGAGGUGAAAUUCGUAGAUAUUGGGAAGAACACCGGUGGCGAAGGCGGCGACCUGGUCCUUGACUGACGCUGAGGCGCGAAAGCGUGGGGAGCAAACAGG